rnacentral:rRNA from 1 species
CAAGUGGUAGGAGAGCGUUCUAUUUGCGUCGAAGGUAUACCGGUAAGGAGUGCUGGAGCGAAUAGAAGUGAGCAUGCAGGCAUGAGUAGCGAUAAUUAAUGUGAGAAUCAUUAACGCCGUAAACCCAAGGUUUCCUACGCGAUGCUCGUCAUCGUAGGGUUAGUCGGGUCCUAAGUCGAGUCCGAAAGGGGUAGACGAUGGCAAAUUGGUUAAUAUUCCAAUACCAACAUUAGUGUGCGAUGGAAGGACGCUUAGGGCUAAGGGGGCUAGCGGAUGGAAGUGCUAGUCUAAGGUCGUAGGAGGUUAUACAGGCAAAUCCGUAUAACAAUACUCCGAGAACUGAAAGGCUUUUUGAAGUCUUCGGAUGGAUAGAAGAACCCCUGAUGCCAUCGAGCCAAGAAAAGUUUCUAAGUUUAGCUAAUGUUGCCCGUACCGUAAACCGACACAGGUGGGUGGGAUGAGUAUUCUAAGGCGCGUGGAAGAACUCUCUUUAAGGAACUCUGCAAAAUAGCACCGUAUCUUCGGUAUAAGGUGUGGUUCGCUUCGUAUUAGGAUUUACUCCGAAAGCGAAGAAACUUACAACAAAGAGUCCCUCCCGACUGUUUACCAAAAACACAGCACUCUGCUAACUCGUAAGAGGAUGUAUAGGGUGUGACGCCUGCCCGGUGCUCGAAGGUUAAUUGAUGGGGUUAGCAUUAGCGAAGCUCUUGAUCGAAGCCCGAGUAAACGGCGGCCGUAACUAUAACGGUCCUAAGGUAGCGAAAUUCCUUGUCGGUUAAAUACCGACCUGCAUGAAUGGCGUAACGAGAUGGGAGCUGUCUCAAAGAGGGAUCCAGUGAAAUUGUAGUGGAGGUGAAAAUUCCUCCUACCCGCGGCAAGACGGAGAGACCCCGUGGACCUUUACUACAGCUUGACACUGCUAUUUGGAUAAGAAUGUGCAGGAUAGGUGGGAGGCUUUGAGUAUAUGACGCCAGUUGUAUAUGAGCCAUUGUUGAGAUACCACUCUUUCUUAUUUGGGUAGCUAACCAGCUUGAGUUAUCCUCAAGUGGGACAAUGUCUGGUGGGUAGUUUGACUGGGGCGGUCGCCUCCCAAAUAAUAACGGAGGCUUACAAAGGUUGGCUCAGAACGGUUGGAAAUCGUUCGUAGAGUAUAAAGGUAUAAGCCAGCUUAACUGCAAGACAUACAAGUCAAGCAGAGACGAAAGUCGGUCUUAGUGAUCCGGUGGUUCUGUGUGGAAGGGCCAUCGCUCAAAGGAUAAAAGGUACCCCGGGGAUAACAGGCUGAUCUCCCCCAAGAGCUCACAUCGACGGGGAGGUUUGGCACCUCGAUGUCGGCUCAUCGCAUCCUGGGGCUGGAGCAGGUCCCAAGGGUAUGGCUGUUCGCCAUUUAAAGCGGUACGCGAGCUGGGUUCAGAACGUCGUGAGACAGUUCGGUCCCUAUCUGCCGUGGGCGUAAGAAGAUUGAAGAGAUUUGACCCUAGUACGAGAGGACCGGGUUGAACAAACCACUGGUGUAGCUGUUGUUCUGCCAAGAGCAUCGCAGCGUAGCUAAGUUUGGAAAGGAUAAACGCUGAAAGCAUCUAAGCGUGAAGCCAACUCUAAGAUGAAUCUUCUCUAAGCUCUCUAGAAGACUACUAGUUUGAUAGGCUGGGUGUGUAAUGGAUGAAAGUCCUUUAGCUGACCAGUACUAAUAGAGCGUUUGGCUUAUCUUUAAUAAAGCAU